UAAGGUAGCAUAAUCGUUUGUCUUUUAAUUAAAGGCUGGAAUGAAAGGGGGGUCGAUAGUUAAGCUUUUUAAAAAUAAGGUGGAAAUUGAUAUCUGUAUGAAAAAGUAUAGCUUUUUAGGGGGACGAUAAGACCCUAUAAAACUUUAUUUUAUAUAUUAUUUUUGAUUUUGAAAUUUAAAAAUUUAAAUAAAAUUAAGCUGGGGCAGCAUCUAAAAUAUUUUAGAAGAUUCGACACUUUUGGGUGGCUUAGAAGAUCUUAGACAGAAGUAGAGAAGUUACUUUAGGGAUAACAGCACAAUUUUUUUGUAAAGACCACAUAGAGGGAAAAGACUUGUGACCUCGAUGUUGAAUUGAGGGGCCUUAUUAAAGCAGCCGUUAAUAUAGGGGGUCUGUUCGACCUUUAAUUCCUCA
rnacentral:rRNA from 1 species